GACGAACGCUGGCGGCGUGCUUAACACAUGCAAGUCGAACGGAAAGGCUCUAGCUUGCUGGAGUACUCGAGUGGCGAACGGGUGAGUAACACGUGGGUGAUCUGCCCUGCACUUCGGGAUAAGCCUGGGAAACUGGGUCUAAUACCGGAUAGGACCGCACGCUGGUUGGUGUGGUGUAGAGGUUUUUCGGGUGUGGGGUGGGCUCGCGGCCUAUCCGUUUGUUGGUGGGGUAAUGGCCUACCCAGACGUCGGCGGGUUGCCGGGCCGAGGGGGUGGACGGGCACAAUGGGGCUGGGAUACGGCCCAGGACCCUACGGGGGGGAGGAGGGGGGAAAUAUGCAAAAAGGGGGAAACGCCGAUGCAGGGAAGGCGCGUGGGGGAAGAACGGCUUCGGGUUGGAAACCCGCUUCGGUAGGGACGAAGCUUUUAGUGACGGUACCUGGAGAAGAAGCACCGGCUAACUACGUG
rnacentral:rRNA from 1 species